UUUGUUCUGCUUUAUCUACAUUGUCAGGCAUGGAAUCACGUUCCAUUGACAUGCUUGGAGGAUAUUGACCUGGUUUGGGAUCCAUACAUGCAGUCAAUGUAGUAGCUGCGAACAACAGUGUUGAGAUGACGAGUACGAGUUUCAUUUUCAGUCUCCUAUAAGAAAAAGUACAUUCACAAUAUAGUUCUUCCAACAGUUCUGACUUACUGUCCCCUUUUUAGAAAGACAUCUAUUUGAUACCAGAUACGAUAUGCCCUGUCAAGAAUUUUUUAGACGUAUGCUUGACAGCAUCUGAUUACCAUAAGACAACUAUAUUUUUAUAAA
rnacentral:sRNA from 20 species